rnacentral:rRNA from 1 species
UACGGGGGGGCAAGCGUUGUUCGGAAUUACUGGGCGUAAAGGGCUCGUAGGCGGCCAACUAAGUCAGACGUGAAAUCCCUCGGCUUAACCGGGGAACUGCAUCUGAUACUGGAUGGCUUGAGUUCGGGAGAGGGAUGCGGAAUUCCAGGUGUAGCGGUGAAAUGCGUAGAUAUCUGGAGGAACACCGGUGGCGAAGGCGGCGAUC